UACGGAGGGUGCAAGCGUUAAUCGGAAUUACUGGGCGUAAAGCGUGCGCAGGCGGUUUGGUAAGUCCGCUGUGAAAUCCCCGAGCUCAACUUGGGAAUUGCAGUGGAUACUGGCAGGCUGGAGUACGGUAGAGGAAGGUGGAAUUCCCGGUGUAGCAGUGAAAUGCGUAGAGAUCGGGAGGAACACCAGUGGCGAAGGCGGCCUUCUGGACCAGUACUGACGCUCAUGCACGAAAGCGUGGGGAGCAAACAGG
rnacentral:rRNA from 1 species